GUGCUUGCUUCAGUAGUACAUAUACUAACAUUGGAACAAUACAGAGGAGGUUAUCAUAGACUCUCCACAAGAUGAAGCGCAAAUUCAUGAAGUGUUUCAUACUUUU
rnacentral:snRNA from 1 species